rnacentral:rRNA from 1 species
CCCUUAGAUGUCCGGGGCCGCACGCGCGCUACACUGAAGGAAUCAGCGUGGCUCUGUCCCUGGUCCGAAAGGAUUGGGAAACCCGUUGAAUCUCCUUCGUGAUAGGGAUUGGGGCUUGGAACUGUUCCCCAUGAACGAGGAAUUCCCAGUAAGCGCGAGUCAUAAGCUCGCGUUGAUUACGUCCCUGCCCUUUGUACACACCGCCCGUCGCUACUACCGAUUGAGUGAUCCGGUGAAUAAUUCGGACUGCGGCAUUGACCGGUUCCCGAUCGUUGCUGCGGAAAGUUUAGUGAACCUUAUCACUUAGAGGAAGGAGAAGUCGUAACA